GUAGGGUGCGAGCGUUGUCCGGAAUUAUUGGGCGUAAAGAGCUCGUAGGCGGUUUGUUGCGUCGGUCGUGAAAACCUGGGGCUUAACCCUGGGCUUGCGGUCGAUACGGGCAGACUUGAGUUCGGUAGGGGAGACUGGAAUUCCUGGUGUAGCGGUGAAAUGCGCAGAUAUCAGGAGGAACACCGGUGGCGAAGGCGGGUCUCUGGGCCGAUACUGACGCUGAGGAGCGAAAGCGUGGGGAGCGAACAGGAUUAGAUACCCUGGUAGUCCACGCCGUAAACGUUGGGCGCUAGGUGUGGGGCUCUUUCCACGGGUUCCGUGCCGUAGCUAACGCAUUAAGCGCCCCGCCUGGGGAGUACGGCCGCAAGGCUAAA
rnacentral:rRNA from 1 species